GAAUUCAAGGUACCGAGAAUUUUGUGCGACGGUGAGUACGCGUGGUACCUCCCAACAGACCGGACAACACUGGAAACGAGUGCUAAUACCGGAUACCCUAGGAUUUGGCAUCGGAGACUUAGGAAAGGUGGCCUCUAUUAUAAGCUACCGUUGUAGGAUGGACCCGCGUCUGAUUAGCUAGUGGUGGGGUAACGGCCUACCAAGGCGACGAUCAGUAGCCGGCCUGAGAGGGUGAACGGCCACACUGGGACUGAGACACGGCCCAGACUCCUACGGGAGGCAGCAGUGGGGAAUCUUCCGCAAUGGACGAAAGUCUGACGGAGCAACGCCGCGUGUAUGAUGAAGGCCUUCGGGUUGUAAAGUACUGUCUUUGGGGAAGAAUGGUCGGUAGAAAAUAUGUAGCGACA
rnacentral:rRNA from 1 species